rfam:Trichobilharzia regenti genome assembly, scaffold: TRE_scaffold0004248
AUCCAGCUGACGAGUCCCAAAUAGGACGAAAUGCGCGGUAUCCUGGAG